rnacentral:misc_RNA from 1 species
AACGGUCUAUACCUGCGGUACCUGCGGAAGGAUCAUCAAUGAAUUUUCAAAUUCAUUUUUGGCUUUGGGAGUGCAGAUUCUUUCGGUAUUCCGCUGGAAGAGCUUGUUUUUCCUAUUGCCUUAUCAACCAUCAGUCUCUGUCUACUAACAAGGGUGUCUUGCAUGAUGUUUCAUACUUCAUGAGCAUCAAAUAUGUGCAAGCCCUUUGCGAUUGACUUUGACUUUUUGAGUAGUUCGAAU